GCAUGACUAUACUGGAGGCUGGACCUUCUCGUGGACCCGUCUUAUAUCUGUCAUGCUAAAGCAAAGCUCCUCCGACCAUUGACAGGCCCAACUCAGUGGGCUUGAUCACUGAAGUGAGCAGAACAGGU
ensembl:snoRNA